rnacentral:tRNA from 1 species
AUCUAAAUAGUUUAAGAAAAAUAUUGAUUUGUGGUGUCAAAGAUAUAAAGAGUAUUUUAGAUU